GCCCCUGUGGCGGAAUGGUAGACGCGAUCGACUCAAAAUCGAUUGCCGCGAGGCGUGUCCGUUCGAGUCGGACCAGGGGCACCA
rnacentral:tRNA from 2 species